rnacentral:rRNA from 2 species
UUUAAUGAGAGUUUGAUCCUGGCUCAGGACGAACGCUGGCGGCGUGCCUAAUACAUGCAAGUAGAACGCUGAGGUUUGGUGUUUACACUAGACUGAUGAGUUGCGAACGGGUGAGUAACGCGUAGGUAACCUGCCUCAUAGCGGGGGAUAACUAUUGGAAACGAUAGCUAAUACCGCAUAAGAGUAAUUAACACAUGUUGGUUAUUUAAAAGGAGCAAUUGCUUCACUGUGAGAUGGACCUGCGUUGUAUUAGCUAGUUGGUGAGGUAAAGGCUCACCAA